UACGAAGGGGGCUAGCGUUGCUCGGAAUUACUGGGCGUAAAGGGCGCGUAGGCGGAUCGUUAAGUCAGAGGUGAAAAGCCCAGGGCUCAACCCUGGAAUUGCCUUUGAUACGUGCGGGCUUGAGUUCGGAAGAGGGUCGAUGGAAUUCCCAGUGUAGAGGUGAAAUUCGUAGAUAUUGGGAAGAACACCGGUGGCGAAGGCGGCGACCUGGUCCGAUACUGACGCUGAGGCGCGAAAGCGUGGGGAGCAAACAGG
rnacentral:rRNA from 1 species